AUUGAACGCUGGCGGCAGGCCUAACACAUGCAAGUCGAGCGAGUGGCGGACGGGUGAGUAAUGUCGGGAACACUGUCUGAUGGAGGGAGAUAAACUCUGGACACGGUCUCUAAUACCGCAUACUCUCGGAUGUGCCCAGAUGGGAUUAGCUAGGAGGGGGGGUAACGGCUCACCUAGGCGACGAGCCAUAGCUGGUCUGAGAGGAUGACCAGCCACACUGGAACUGAGACACGGUCCAGACUCCUACGGGAGGCAGCAGUGGGGAAUAUUGCACAAUGGGCGCAAGCCUGAUGCAGCCAUGCCGCGUGUAUGAAGAAGGCCUUCGGGUUGUAAAGUACUUUCAGCGGGGAGGCGUUACCCGCAGAAGAAGCACCGGCUAACUCCGUGCCAGCAGCCGCGGUAAUUC
rnacentral:rRNA from 1 species